AAGAUGAGUACAACUAGCAUUUUUCUAGACAAAUAAGUAUGGAAUGAAAAUCUAAUACAUAAUUUGACAUUUUAAGGAAAAAUGUAUAGAGCACAGAAACAACUAUAGAAACUAAUUUCACUGGCAAUUUCUGCAGGAUGAGCAGAACCAGUACCUGCUUAGCAACAGCACAUCUGCCACUCCUUCAAAUGCUUCUACUGAUGUGUGGACUUCCAGCUACUCUACCACGUUAUACCAAAAUGCAACUACAGCAGAGGAUGAUACAUUAGUGAUCGCUCUUUCAGUUGCUAUACCAAGUUUUGUGGUUCUUCUCAUCAUAGCUAUAGUUGUGUCAGUAAUUCUACUGAAAAAGAGAAACAGGGGAAGACGAGCUGCCACACAAAACAUGCCUGAAGACAGCAUUCAUUCAGAAAGUGUGGAAUACUAUAACAUUGAUGCUAUUGAUGUGAAGAAUGAAAAUAUUUACAUGAACGAGGAUACAACCCAGAAGAACAGUAUAAAGCAUAGCCCCAGAUCAUCCUCCGAAUGGAUCCAGUCUAAAUUUUCAAACAACAUUGAUAAAAUGGAUUGUUCUGCCUCCAGAGAAUCUCCAAAGAUAGACGGGUCCCCAUAUCCACUACAAGAAGAAGAUUUCUAUGAGUCAACACUACCGAGGGAUGCUGACAGCAUCUAUGCUAACCAGGACAUAAUUGAGACAUAUCGAAGUGGUGCAAAACCAAAGAAGUAACAUCCGAGUUUCCCAGACAAUAUACAUUUUUAUAAAAUAAAAAAAGAAGAACUUCACACGGCCUGGCUUAGAUAAUAAUUGAACACCCAAUACCAGAGCUGAGAGGCUGGACACUAACUGCUAUUUUAUUUUAACCUGUCUAGCCAAUUGGAUUCAGUGUUGCCCUGAAUGUGUGUCCCCAGCAACACAAUUGCAAUCGGUCUACCUUAAAUUGGGAAAGGCAAAGAUUUAACAUCAGUCAAAUGAGGCAUGAUAGUGGGUACAUGCUGAGCAGGUGCCACAGUAGUGAGGACCAUGUGUUAGUAGGGUGCUCCAAGACAUCUGGAAAGUGGUAGCCAAGAUACUGUGCUGUGGCAAAAAAAGGGAAAAAGAUGAUUAGAGAACUAUUCAAUGCAAGGCAGCAAGGAUUCUUGUAAUGUUGCAGUUAGAUACUAUUGUGAAAAGCACUCAUUUCGGAUAGCAACAAAAUUGGGUAUUGGAUUGGGUUGGGUGGGAGCCAACCCAAUAUUAGGCACAUGUCCUAAUAAAGUGGCCAAGGGGUGUGUUUGCAAAGUUUACUCCAGUCUUUAAUGAACUCCUUUUAUGAAAGAUAAUUCCAUGUUAAUUUUACAAACCUGAGAAAGAACUAGCACGAGAGCUUAAAGAGGUUGAGGACAGGUAAAUAAAUCAAUAAAACUUGAUAUGUAAUCUUUCAUCGUUUAUUCUAGUUACUCCAGUUUAUAAGAAGUAAACUAUGUGUGAACUGUAUGUAAUAUAGAGCAGACUCUGAUAUUGAUGUUAUUCAGCCAUCUGAAAUUUCCACCCACUCAAAGUAAGAGUGACCAGUAAGCCCACUCAUGGUAGGUGUUCUGAUCUCUUGUGAAGUGGAUAUCAGCUUGUAUCGUACAGCAAUCUAUACAAUAUUCUAUUCUGAAACAUGCAUUUUGGACUAUGUAUAUGUAAACUCAUUUCUCAACCAUAUGUUUUAUCCAGUUUGUUCCAUUAAAGCGUAAUAUUAGUC